rnacentral:rRNA from 1 species
GACGAACGCUGACGGCGUGCUUAACACAUGCAAGUCGAACGGUAAGGCCCUUCGGGGUACACGAGUGGCGAACGGGUGAGUAACACGUGGGUGAUCUGCCCUGCACUUCGGGAUAAGCCUGGGAAACUGGGUCUAAUACCGGAUAGGACCACUGCCUGCAUGGGUGGUGGUGGAAGCUUUUGCGGUGUGGGAUGGGCCCGCGGCCUAUCAGCUUGUUGGUGGGGUAAUGGCCUACCAAGGCGACGACGGGUAGCCGGCCUGAGAGGGUGACCGGCCACACUGGGACUGAGAUACGGCCCAGACUCCUACGGGAGGCAGCAGUGGGGAAUAUUGCACAAUGGGCGCAAGCCUGAUGCAGCGACGCCGCGUGAGGGAUGACGGCCUUCGGGUUGUAAACCUCUUUCAGCACCGACGAAGCGCAAGUGACGGUAGGUGCAGAAGAAGGACCGGCCAACUACGUGCCAGCAGCCGCCGUAA